CCUACGGGAGGCAGCAGUGGGGAAUAUUGCACAAUGGGGGAAACCCUGAUGCAGCGACGCCGCGUGAGUGAAGAAGUAUUUCGGUACGUAAAGCUCUAGCAGCAGGGAAGAAAAAAAGUCCGUGGGACUGUGGACGGGACCGGACCAAGAAGCCACGGCGAACGACGUGCCAGCAGCCGCGGGAAUACGUAGGGGGCAAGCGUUAUCCGGAUUUACUGGGUGGAAAGGGAGCGUAGACGGUAGCGCAAGGCGGGAGUGAAAGGCCGGGGCCCACCCCCGGAACUGCUUUGGACACGGUGCAGCUGGAGUGCAGGAGCGGUAAGCGGCAUUCCUCGUGUAGCGGU
rnacentral:rRNA from 1 species